rnacentral:rRNA from 1 species
GAUGAACGCUAGCGGCAGGCUUAACACAUGCAAGUCGAGGGGUAGAGGAAGCUUGCUUCCUUAGAGACCGGCGCACGGGUGCGUAACGCGUAUACAAUCUACCUUUUACAGAGGGAUAGCCCCAGAGAAAUUUGGAUUAAUACCUCAUAGUAUUUUCGGAUCGCAUGAUUUGAUUAUUAAAGUUCCAACGGUAAAAGAUGAGUAUGCGUCCCAUUAGCUAGAUGGUAAGGUAACGGCUUACCAUGGCAAUGAU